rnacentral:rRNA from 1 species
AACGAACGCUGGCGGCAUGCCUAACACAUGCAAGUCGAACGAGACCUUCGGGUCUAGUGGCGCACGGGUGCGUAACGCGUGGGAAUCUGCCCUUAGGUUCGGAAUAACUCAGGGAAACUUGAGCUAAUACCGGAUGAUGACUUCGGUCCAAAGAUUUAUCGCCUAAGGAUGAGCCCGCGUAGGAUUAGCUAGUUGGUGAGGUAAAGGCUCACCAAGGCUACGAUCCUUAGCUGGUCUGAGAGGAUGAUCAGCCACACUGGGACUGAGACACGG